ACCGUUCAUCUUUAAUAAGCAGCUGAAAAAACCAAUUUUUCAGUGAGAAGGCUUGUAAAGACGGAAGUAAGGAUAUAUCCCCAAGGAACGCGCC
rnacentral:ncRNA from 2 species